GUUCUCUCAGCUUCAAAAUCAAGUCCACCAGUCACCUCAUCAAGCAGAAGAAUUGUUGGAUUCAAAAGCACUGCUCUAGCAAUAGAAAGUUUAAUUUUCUGUUCCUCCGUCAAUGCUAAACCAGCUCUACCUACCUGUGUCUCAUAGCCCCUUUCAAGCGAGCUAAUAAAUGUAUGUGCAUGUGCUAUUUUGGCAGCUUCUUCAAUCUGAUCCAAAGUAGCAUCUCGUCCAUAUGCAAUAUUAUCUUUUAUGCUCAAACUCAGCAAGGCAGGUUCCUGGGUGACUAGUCCUAUUAGGCUUCUGAGCCAUUCCAACUUCAGGUUUUUAAUAUUCUCUCCAUCUAAAAGAACUUCUCCUAAGGUAGGAUCAUAAAACCGCUCCAUGAGAGGGAUGAUACUACUUUUUCCGGAGCCAUUUCUGCCAACAAGUGCCACAGCUUUUUUAGCAGGUACAGUAAGGUAAAAUCCACUCAAGAUAGGGAUCUCAGGACGAGAGAGAUAGCUAAAAUAUACAUUCC
rnacentral:misc_RNA from 1 species